GUAGCCGUGGCCGAGUGGUUAAGGUGAUGGACUAGAAAUCCAUUGGGGUCUCCCCGCACAGGUUCGAAUUCUGUCGACUGCG
rnacentral:tRNA from 1 species